rfam:Myotis lucifugus cont2.7821, whole genome shotgun sequence.
AGGCCCGAAGAUAGAGGCAGGAUCUGAUCUGCAGCCUCCAUGGCAGGUGCUGAUCAGCCGUUGCUUCUCUCUUUCUCUCUG